UGGGGAAUUUUGGACAAUGGGCGCAAGCCUGAUCCAGCCAUGCCGCGCGCGGGAAGAAGGCCUUCGGGUUGUAAACCGCUUUUGUCAGGGAAGAAAUCUUCUGAGUUAAUACCUCGGGGAGGAUGACGGUACCCUGAAGAAUAAGCACCGGCUAACUACGUGCCAGCAGCCGCGGUAAUACGUAGGGUGCAAGCGUUAAUCGGAAUUACUGGGCGUAAAGCGUGCGCAGGCGGUUUUGUAAGACAGAGGUGAAAUCCCCGGGCUCAACCUGGGAACUGCCUUUGUGACUGCAAGGCUUGAGUGCGGCAGAGGGGGGAUGGAAUUCCGCGUGUAGCAGUGAAAUGCGUAGAUAUGCGGAGGAACACCGAUGGCGAAGGCAAUCCCCUGGGCCUGCACUGACGCUCAUGCACGAAAGCGUGGGGAGCAAACAGGAUUAGAUCCCUGGUAGUCCACGCCCUAAACGAUGUCAACUGGUUGUUGGGGAAGGUUCCUUCUCAGUAACGUAGCUAACGC
rnacentral:rRNA from 1 species